CCUACGGGAGGCAGCAGUGAGGAAUAUUGGUCAAUGGCCGGAAGGCUGAACCAGCCAUGCCGCGUGAAGGUCAGUGCCCUAUGGGCGUUAAACUUCUUUUGUGCGGGAGCAAUAAUGGUCACGUGUGGCCAGACGAGAGUACCGUACGAAUAAGCAUCGGCUAACUCCGUGCCAGCAGCCGCGGUAAUACGGGGGAUGCAAGCGUUAUCCGGAUUUAUGGGUUUUAAAGGGGGCGUAGGCUGUGAGGUAAGUCAGCGGUGAAAUGCCCCCGCUCAACGGGGUGAAGUGCCAUUGAUACUGCCUUGCUGGAAUGCGGAUGCCGUGGGAGGAAUGUGUGGUGUAGCGGUGAAAUGCAUAGAUAUCACACAGAACACCGAUUGCGAAGGCAUCUCACGAAUCCGCGAUUGACGCUGAUGCACGAAAGCGUGGGUAUCAAACAGGAUUAGAUACCCCGGUAGUC
rnacentral:rRNA from 1 species